UUUCAUUUCAAGUGUGCGGUGUUUCCACCUAUCUGCACAUGUAUGGAAAUAACCAUGUUCUCCACAAGGGGUUGUAAAUCAUCUUGGAAGAUACACUCUCAGGGGGCUCAGCUGUCUUGACUUCGAGCAUACGCUGCUAGGAUCUCAGUUUAUGUGCAGAGAUGGAGACCACAGAUGGCGCGCAGAGCAACCCCUUCAACCUGGCACACCAAGGGCCCGUCACCGCUGUGAUCUCCGGAGAGGCAGGGACUUCGAAAUGUCUCUGAUUUCCAUUUCAGGAUUGGGCAGGUUUAUUGAGCAUUCAGGCUGUUUUUUGGUCAAGUCUGCACUAAAAAAAAACGCCUGUGGACUUAUGAGCAGAACUGGAAGGACACCAUUAAAUCAUCAACUUGUUAAAACCAAUAACAGGAUGUGGGCCCACAAUGAAAACCUACACAGCAAGGGAUAAGA